AGGAUAAUAGUUAAAUUAACAUUUAAUUUGCAAUUAAAAAAUACUGAACUAUCAGUUUAUCUUA
rnacentral:tRNA from 1 species